UACGGAGGAUGCGAGCGUUAUCCGGAUUUAUUGGGUUUAAAGGGUGCGUAGGCGGAAUAUCAAGUCAGCGGUAAAAAUUCGGGGCUCAACCCCGGCCCGCCGUUGAAACUGGCUGGCUUGAGUUGGGGAAAGGCAGGCGGAAUGCGUGGUGUAGCGGUGAAAUGCAUAGAUAUCACGCAGAACCCCGAUUGCGAAGGCAGCAUACCGGCGCCCAACUGACGCUGAGGCACGAAAGCGUGGGUAUCGAACAGG
rnacentral:rRNA from 1 species